GACGAACGCUGGCGGCGUGCUUAACACAUGCAAGUCGAGCGAGGCCCCUCCUUCGGGAGGGUGUCCUAGCGGCGAACGGGUGAGUAACACGUGGGCAACCUGCCCCCGGCUCUGGGAUAACUCCAAGAAAUCGGGGCUAAUACCGGAUGUGACCGCUGACCGCAUGGUCUGGUGGUGGACAGAUUUAUCGGCUGGGGAUGGGCCCGCGGCCGAUCAGCUUGUUGGUGGGGUAGUGGCCUACCAAGGCGACGACGGGUAGCCGGCCUGAGAGGGUGACCGGCAACACUGGGACUGAGACACGGCCCAGACUCCUACGGGAGGCAGCAGUGGGGAAUAUUGCGCAAUGGGCGGAAGCCUGACGCAGCGACGCCGCGUGGGGGAUGACGGCCUUCGGGUUGUAAACCUCUUUCAGCAGGGACGAAGCGAAAGUGACGGUACCUGCAGAAGAAGCACCGGCCAACUACGUGCCAGCCGCCGCAGUAA
rnacentral:rRNA from 1 species